AAAGGGGUAGGAGAAAGGAGAAAUGGGGUGGGAGAAAGGAGAAAGGGGUAGGAGAAAGGAGAGGAAGGCUGGGAGAAAGGAGAAAAAGUUGGAGAAAAAAAUAAAAUAUGAAAAAAUAAAAUAUCUCUCUUUUUUCCUGUAAAUUAAAAAAAAAUAAAAUAAGAAGAGGGGUAGGAGAAAGGAGAAGAGGGUAGGAGAAAGGAGAAGAGGGGUGGGAGAAGGGAGAAGGGUACCCCCUGUCCUCCCCCUCGUUUAUAACAAAACAAAUUACGGAAACAAAAUAUGACAAUCAUGAAACAACGACAACCACUGUAACACGGGUUCCUGAUAUGGGACAAAUACCUUAAAAUGUUUCCGGAUCAAACAUAUUGUUGAGCGCUCAACC
rnacentral:lncRNA from 1 species